AGUGAACGCUGGCGGUAGGCCUAACACAUGCAAGUCGAACGGCAGCACAGUAAGAGCUUGCUCUUACGGGUGGCGAGUGGCGGACGGGUGAGGAAUACAUCGGAAUCUACUUUUUCGUGGGGGAUAACGUAGGGAAACUUACGCUAAUACCGCAUACGACCUACGGGUGAAAGCAGGGGAUCUUCGGACCUUGCGCGAUUGAAUGAGCCGAUGUCGGAUUAGCUAGUUGGCGGGGUAAAGGCCCACCAAGGCGACGAUCCAUAGCUGGUCUGAGAGGAUGAUCAGCCACACUGGAACUGAGACACGGUCCAGACUCCUACGGGAGGCAGCAGUGGGGAAUAUUGGACAAGGGGCGCAAGCCUGAUCCAGCCAUACCGCGUGGGUGAAGAAGGCCUUCGGGUUGUAAAGCCCUUUUGUUGGAAAAGAAAAGCAGCAGGUUAAUACCCCGCUGUUCUGACGGUACCCAAAGAAUAAGCACCGGCUAACUUCGU
rnacentral:rRNA from 1 species